rnacentral:rRNA from 1 species
GGCGGCGUGCAUGAGACAUGCAAGUCGAACGGACACUUGGGGCUUGCUCCAAGUGUUAGUGGCGGACGGCUGAGUAACGCGUAGGUGACCUGCCCCGAAGUGGGGAAUAACUGCCCGAAAGGGUGGCUAAUACCGCAUGUGGUGGUGUGUUCAUUCACACCAGUAAAGCCGCAAGGCGCUUCGGGAGGGGCCUGCGUCCGAUUAGCUCGUUGGUGGGGUAACGGCUCACCAAGGCGACGAUCGGUAGGUGGUCUGAGAGGACGAUCACCCAGACUGGGACUGAGACACGGCCCAGACUCCUACGGGAGGCAGCAGUCGGGAAUUUUGCGCAAUGGACGAAAGUCUGACGCAGCAACGCCGCGUGAGGGAUGAAGGCCUUCGGGUUGUAAACCUCUUUUAUCAGGGAAGAUAAUGACGGUACCUGAUGAAUAAGUCACGGCUAACUACGUGCCAGCAGCCGCGGUAAUACGUAGGUGACAAGCGUUGUCCGGAUUUACUGGGCGUAAAGANCGCGCAGGCGGUCGAUCAAGUCGA